rnacentral:rRNA from 1 species
GACGAACGCUGGCGGCGUGCCUAACACAUGCAAGUCGAACGGAGUAAACCGCUGAAAUGAAGGUAGCUUGCUACUGAAUUUUCUUGGUUUGCUUAGUGGCGGACGGGUGAGUAACGCGUGAGUAACCUGCCUUACAGAGGGGGACAACAGUUGGAAACGACUGCUAAUACCGCAUAACAUAUUUUGAGGGCAUCCUCGGAAUAUCAAAGGAGCAAUCCGCUGUAAGAUGGACUCGCGUCCAAUUAGAUAGUUGGUGGGGUAACGGCCCACCAAGUCGACGAUUGGUAGCCGGACUGAGAGGUUGAACGGCCACAUUGGGACUGAGACACGGCCCAG